rnacentral:rRNA from 2 species
GCUAUACAUGCAAGUCGAACGAACUCUGGUAUUGAUUGGUGCUUGCAUCAUGAUUUACAUUUGAGUGAGUGGCGAACUGGUGAGUAACACGUGGGAAACCUGCCCAGAAGCGGGGGAUAACACCUGGAAACAGAUGCUAAUACCGCAUAACAACUUGGACCGCAUGGUCCGAGUUUGAAAGAUGGCUUCGGCUAUCACUUUUGGAUGGUCCCGCGGCGUAUUAGCUAGAUGGUGRGGUAACGGCUCACCAUGGCAAUGAUACGUAGCCGACCUGAGAGGGUAAUCGGCCACAUUGGGACUGAGACACGGCCCAAACUCCUACGGGAGGCAGCAGUAGGGAAUCUUCCACAAUGGACGAAAGUCUGAUGGAGCAACGCCGCGUGAGUGAAGAAGGGUUUCGGCUCGUAAAACUCUGUUGUUAAAGAAGAACAUAUCUGAGAGUAACUGUUCAGGUAUUGACGGUAUUUAACCAGAAAGCCACGGCUAACUACGUGCCAGCAGCCGCGGUAAUACGUAGGUGGCAAGCGUUGUCCGGAUUUAUUGGGCGUAAAGCGAGCGCAGGCGGUUUUUUAAGUCUGAUGUGAAAGCCUUCGGCUCAACCGAAGAAGUGCAUCGGAAACUGGGAAACUUGAGUGCAGAAGAGGACAGUGGAACUCCAUGUGUAGCGGUGAAAUGCGUAGAUAUAUGGAAGAACACCAGUGGCGAAAGCGGCUGUCUGGUCUGUAACUGACGCUGAGGCUCGAAAGUAUGGGUAGCAAACAGGAUUAGAUACCCUGGUAGUCCAUACCGUAAACGAUGAAUGCUAAGUGUUGGAGGGUUUCCGCCCUUCAGUGCUGCAGCUAACGCAUUAAGCAUUCCGCCUGGGGAGUACGGCCGCAAGGCUGAAACUCAAAGGAAUUGACGGGGGCCCGCACAAGCGGUGGAGCAUGUGGUUUAAUUCGAAGCUACGCGAAGAACCUUACCAGGUCUUGACAUACUAUGCAAAUCUAAGAGAUUAGACGUUCCCUUCGGGGACAUGGAUACAGGUGGUGCAUGGUUGUCGUCAGCUCGUGUCGUGAGAUGUUGGGUUAAGUCCCGCAACGAGCGCAACCCUUAUUAUCAGUUGCCAGCAUUAAGUUGGGCACUCUGGUGAGACUGCCGGUGACAAACCGGAGGAAGGUGGGGAUGACGUCAAAUCAUCAUGCCCCUUAUGACCUGGGCUACACACGUGCUACAAUGGAUGGUACAACGAGUUGCGAACUCGCGAGAGUAAGCUAAUCUCUUAAAGCCAUUCUCAGUUCGGAUUGUAGGCUGCAACUCGCCUACAUGAAGUCGGAAUCGCUAGUAAUCGCGGAUCAGCAUGCCGCGGUGAAUACGUUCCCGGGCCUUGUACACACCGCCCGUCACACCAUGAGAGUUUGUAACACCCAAAGUCGGUGGGGUAACCUUUUAGGAACCAGCCGCCUAAUG